rnacentral:rRNA from 1 species
AGAGCGAACGCUGGCGGCAGGCCUAACACAUGCAAGUCGAGCGCCCCGCAAGGGGAGCGGCAGACGGGAGAGUAACACGUGGGAACGUACCCUUUGGUUCGGAACAACACAGGGAAACUUGUGCUAAUACCGGAUAAGCCCUUACGGGGAAAGAUUUAUUGCCAAAGGAUCGGCCCGCGUCUGAUUAGCUUGUUGGUGAGGUAACGGCUCACCAAGGCUACGAUCAGUAGCUGGUCUGAGAGGAUGAUCAGCCUCACUGGGACUGAGACACGGCCCAAACUCCUACGGGAGGCAGCAGUGGGGAAUAUUGGACAAUGGGCGCAAGCCUGAUCCAGCCAUGCCGCGUGAGUGAUGAAGGCCCUAGGGUUGUAAAGCUCUUUUGUGCGGGAAGAUAAUGACGGUACCGCAAGAAUAAGCCCCGGCUAACUUCGUGCCAGCAGCCGC